rnacentral:rRNA from 1 species
UACGAAGGGGGCUAGCGUUGUUCGGAAUCACUGGGCGUAAAGGGCGCGUAGGCGGCUUUAUAAGUCGGGGGUGAAAGCCUGUGGCUCAACCACAGAAUUGCCUUCGAUACUGUAGAGCUUGAGACCGGAAGAGGUAAGUGGAACUGCGAGUGUAGAGGUGAAAUUCGUAGAUAUGGGGAGGAACACCGGUGGCGAAGGCGGCCAUCUGGACGGAUACUGACGCUGAGACGCGAAAGCGUGGGGAGCAAACAGG